rnacentral:rRNA from 1 species
CAAGUCGAACGAUUAAAGCUCCCUUCGGGGAGUGCAUAGAGUGGCGCACGGGUGAGUAACACGUAAGUAAUCUACCCUCGAGUGGGGAAUAACAUCGGGAAACCGAUGCUAAUACCGCAUAAUGCAGCGGCACCGCAAGGUGACAGUUGUUAAAGAUUUAUCGCUUGAGGAGGAGCUUGCGGCAGAUUAGCUAGUUGGUAAGGUAAUGGCUUACCAAGGCUACGAUCUGUAACCGGUCUUAGAGGACGGUCGGUCACACUGACACUGAAUAACGGGUCAGACUCCUACGGGAGGCAGCAGUCGGGAAUUUUGGGCAAUGGGCGAAAGCCUGACCCAGCAACGCCGCGUGAAGGAUGAAGUAUUUCGGUAUGUAAACUUCGAAAGAAUGGGAAGAAUAAAUGACGGUACCAUUUAUAAGGUCCGGCUAACUACGUGCCAGCAGCCGCGGUAAUACGUAGGGACCAAGCGUUGUUCGGAUUUACUGGGCGUAAAGGGCGCGUAGGCGGCAUAUUAAGUCAGCUGUGAAAUCUCCGAGCUUAACUCGGAACGGUCAGCUGAUACUGAUGUGCUAGAGUGCAGAAGGGGCAAUCGGAAUUCUUGGUGUAGCGGUGAAAUGCGUAGAUAUCAAGAGGACACCUGAGGUGAAGACGGGUUGCUGGGCUGACACUGACGCUGAGCGCGAAAGCCAGGGGAGCAAACGGGAUAGAUACCCCGGUAGUCUGGCC